rnacentral:rRNA from 1 species
CGAUUAAGCCAUGCGAGUCGAACGAACCUUGUGUUCGUGGCGAACGGCUCAGUAACACGUGGAUAACCUGCCCUUGGGACCGGGAUAACCCCGGGAAACUGGGGAUAAACCUGGAUAGGUGAUGCUGCCUGGAAUGGUUCUUCACCGAAACACCUUCGGGUGCCCAAGGAUGGGUCUGCGGCCGAUUAGGUUGUUGGUAGGGUAACGGCCUACCAAGCCGAUCAUCGGUACGGGUUGUGAGAGCAAGAGCCCGGAGAUGGAACCUGAGACAAGGUUCCAGGCCCUACGGGGCGCGGCAGGCGCGAAACCUCCGCAAUGCACGCAAGUGCGACGGGGGAACCCCAAGUGCCACUCUUAACGGGGUGGCUUUUCAGAAGUGUAAAAAGCUUCUGGAAUAAGGGCUGGGCAAGACCGGUGCCAGCCGCCGCGGUAACACCGGCAGCUCAAGUGGUAGCCGCUUUUAUUGGGCCUAAAGCGUCCGUAGCCGGUCUGAUAAGUCUCUGGUGAAAUCCCACAGCUUAACUGUGGGAAUUGCUGGAGAUACUAUCAUGACUCGAGGUCGGGAGAGGCUGGAGGUACUCCCAGGGUAGGGGUGAAAUCCUGUAAUCCUGGGAGGACCACCUGUGGCGAAGGCGUCCAGCUGGAACGAACCUGACGGUGAGGGACGAAAGCCAGGGGCGCGAACCGGAUUAGAUACCCGGGUAGUCCUGGCCGUAAACGAUGUGGACUUGGUGUUGGGAUGGCUUCGAGCUGCCCCAGUGCCGAAGGGAAGCUGUUAAGUCCACCGCCUGGGAAGUACGGCCGCAAGGCUGAAACUUAAAGGAAUUGGCGGGGGAGCAAAUCCCGCGG